rnacentral:lncRNA from 1 species
CUCUGAGUUGCCCAUGUCAGAUAGGAUCUACCAUUAGAAAAGCUUCCAUUGGUGAUUAAGUCCUAUCACGGAAUCUUGGCUUUUAAAAGAUGGGUUCUCCCAACCCAGACAUGUGUAUCAUGAAUGUUCUUGUUUAAAAACGUUCCAUUUUUCGCUCCAGCUCUGAUAUGGUUUCCCAGCUCUCUUCCCAAGUCUUCUAGCAUGCUAUAUUAAAAAAGUCGCCAAACUGGUUUUCACACAUCUUUUCAAGACCGAUAAGCAAAAGUUUACCAAAGCAGUGUUUUGAGUAAGAUCAACUCCGAGUUAGAUUCUCUAAGUGUUCACCAAUCCAGUGGUGCUGGUUAGAUGGAGGGGUGGUUAAAUAAGCUAUGAAUUUCCAAAGCCGUGAGAGCUAUUCUCCCUUGGUAAAACACGAACCCACAACUUCUUUGGAAGCAAAGUCGACAUCCUGUUGGACUCACGGCCUUCAAACCUGUUCUGUGGGUGUUAUGAAUGACUGCGUGCAAACAGUAAGUGAUUGUGAAAAUAAAUUUUAUAAUUGGAAAAAAAA